rnacentral:lncRNA from 12 species
UUCUCUCCUUGUGUUAGAAUGAAGUGAGGGAAGUGAAGGAAAUGGCCAUCUGGAUGUGAGGAUGGAUAGUUAACAACAGCAUCACAUGACAACACUUUGUCUUCAAGGGAACACCAAGGAAUGAGAAUUUGGCUUGCCACGAACAAAUCCACAUUUCUUUUUGGUUUAAGAACUAGAAUCUAAGAUUAAAGUCGAUUACAGUAAGGCUUUGAAGAACCCGUGCUGUGAAGGUGUUAUCUGGAUAGGCUAGACCAUUACGUCACUCAUACUUGUCAAUACCACCACGACAGGAAUUAGAUUAAUUUUAGUCAUUUAAUCACCCAGUAGUGAUUUGAGUGCAAAGGACAGAGGCCAGAAAAUCAGAUGGAGGAAAGGAUUAGUGAAGAUAGAUAGCUUGCAG